rnacentral:misc_RNA from 1 species
GAUGAAGAACGCAGCGAAAUGCGAUAAGUAAUGUGAAUUGCAGAAUCCAGUGAAUCAUCGAAUCUUUGAACGAACAUUGCGCCCGCCAGCAUUCUGGCGGGCAUGCCUGUUCGAGCGUCAUUUCAACCCUCGACCUCCCUUUGGGGAAGUCGGCGUUGGGGACCGGCAGCACACCGCCGGCCCUGAAAUGGAGUGGCGGCCCGUCCGCGGCGACCUCUGCGUAGUAAUCCAACUCGCACCGGAACCCCGACGCGGCCACGCCGUAAAACACCCAACUUCUGAACGUUGACCUCGAAUCAGGUAGGACUACCCGCUGAACUUAAGCAUAUCAAUAAGCGGAGGA